GGGGGGGGGGGGCGGGGGGCCUGGGGCGGGGGGGGCGGGCGGUGGCGGGGGGCGGCUUGCUGGUUCGCGGACGAGGGGCGGCCGGGUGGGUGAUGUCUGGGAAACUGCCUGAUGGAGGGGGAUAACUACUGGAAACGGUAGCUAAUACCGCAUAACGUCGCAAGCCCAAAGAGGGGGACCUUCGGGCCUCUUGCCAUCGGCUGUGCCCAGAUGGGAUUAGCUAGUAGGUGGGGUAACGGCUCACCUAGGCGACGAUCCCUAGCUGGUCUGAGAGGAUUACCAGCCACACUGGAACUGAGACACGGUCCAGACUCCUACGGGAGGCAGCAGUGGGGAAUAUUGCACAAUGGGCGCAAGCCUGAUGCAGCCAUGCCGCGUGUAUGAAGAAGGCCUUCGGGUUGUAAAGUACUUUCAGCGGGGAGGAAGGGAGUAAAGUUAAUACCUUGGCUCAUUGACGUUACCCGCAGAAGAAGCACCGGCUAACUCCGUG
rnacentral:rRNA from 1 species